AUUGAACGCUGGCGGCAUGCCUUACACAUGCAAGUCGAACGGCAGCACGGGUGCUUGCACCUGGUGGCGAGUGGCGAACGGGUGAGUAAUACAUCGGAACAUGUCCUGUAGUGGGGGAUAGCCCGGCGAAAGCCGGAUUAAUACCGCAUACGAUCUACGGAUGAAAGCGGGGGACCUUUGGGCCUCGCGCUAUAGGGUUGGCCGAUGGCUGAUUAGCUAGUUGGUGGGGUAAAGGCCUACCAAGGCGACGAUCAGUAGCUGGUCUGAGAGGACGACCAGCCACACUGGGACUGAGACACGGCCCAGACUCCUACGGGAGGCAGCAGUGGGGAAUUUUGGACAAUGGGCGAAAGCCUGAUCCAGCAAUGCCGCGUGUGUGAAGAAGGCCUUCGGGUUGUAAAGCACUUUUGUCCGGAAAGAAAUCCUUGGCCCUAAUACGGUCGGGGGAUGACGGUACCGGAAGAAUAAGCACCGGCUAACUACGUG
rnacentral:rRNA from 1 species